UACAGAGGUCCCAAGCGUUGUUCGGAAUUACUGGGCGUAAAGGGCUCGUAGGCGGCCAACUAAGUCAGACGUGAAAUCCCCAGGCUCAACCUGGGAACUGCGUCUGAUACUGGUUGGCUUGAAUCCGGGAGAGGGAUGCAGAAUUCCAGGUGUAGCGGUGAAAUGCGUAGAUAUCAGGAGGAAUACCGACGGCGAAGGCAGCUAACUGGGCCUUAUCUGACGCUGAGGCGCGAAAGCGUGGGUAGCAAACAGG
rnacentral:rRNA from 1 species